UCCAUAACAUGUUUAAAACACCGGUUCUCGUACGAUCAACGAAGUUAAGUAACGUCGAGCUUGGUCAGGACCUAGAUGGGUGAUUGCCUGGGAAUACCAGAAGCUGUAA